UACUUCUGUGAAUAUCAGAAGAAAUUACCCAAUCAAGUCAUCUAUUAUCCUCAAGGAAAUACUGCUGAGCUCUCUGUCAAAGUGAAUUUGGAGAAGCCCAGAAUCUCCCUGACAUCUCCGCAUGAAAUGGUGAUCUACAGCCCUGACAAAAUAUCGGUCACCAAAGGCAGCAGCUUCUCCAUCACAUGCUCCAUUCACUCUACAUAUCCGGGAGGUUUCUUCUAUCUGACAAAGUCUAACAAGAGCACAGUCGCUUCAUUGCCAGCAUAUGGCCACUCUAUCUUCUACAUGACCCACUUUGAAUUCCCUGCUCUCGAUUAUACAAACCAAGGAGAGUAUAACUGUGUCUACGGGCUUAACAUUUCCUCAAUGUCCUUCUGUUCUGUUCCCUCCAAGUCACUUCAAGUAACUGUAAUUGCCACUUCAUCCUCUUCAGUGGUCUCAGGACUAGUGGGUGGGCUGGUGGUGUUGGUACUCGUGCUGGUUAUAGGUUACCUGGUCUGGAGAAGAAGAAGGCGAGGUGCUGGUAAGUGGCACACUUCUUAUUUUACAAAUU